rnacentral:rRNA from 1 species
AGUGAACGCUGGCGGCAGGCCUAACACAUGCAAGUCGAACGGAAACACACUAAGAGCUUGGUCUUACCGGUGGCGAGUGGCGGGCGUGAGAGGUAUAUAUCGGACUCUACUUUUUCGUGUGGGAUCACGUAGGGAAGCUUACGCUAAUACCGCAUACGCUCUACGGGUGAGAGCAUGGGAUCUUCUCACCUGGCGCGAUUGAAUGCGCCGAUGUGGGAGUAGCUAGUUGGCGGGGUAAAUGCCCACCAUGGCGACGAUCCGUAGCUGGUCGGAGAGGAUGAUCGGCGACACUGGAACUGAGACACGGUCCAGAGUCCUACGGGAGGCAGCAGUGGGGAAUAUUGGACAAUGGGCGCAAGCCUGAUACAGCCAGACCGAGUGUGUGAAGAAGGCCUUCGGGUUGUAAAGCCCUUUUGUUGGGUAAGAACAGCAUCAGGUUAAUACGCCGCUGUACUGACGGUACCGGAAGAAGAAGCACCGGCUAACUACGUG